AAAUACUAAAGUUAAAAAAGAAAAGGGUGAAUCAAGGAUAAAAUCUGGGCUUCUGGGUGAAUAGUGGUUUGAAUCAACAGUGAUUGCACUUACUACUUACUCAGAAGUGAUGUAGCAUUCCAUUGUUGAGAGUUCCAUUCUGCACACAUGAAAUCUGAGGUGCACUGUAGCUGGCUGGAUGCUAGAAUCUGGAGUUCCCAGCAGAGGAGGUCUGGGCUAGAGAUGUACUCAAGAGCGUCAUCAAGGUAUCAAUGCAAUUUAAAGUUUAAGAACUAAUUGAGAUGGUACAAAGGAAGGGAGAGACUGGAGGGAAAGAAAAGAAAGAAAAACAGCAAGAAGGAACAGAGUGGGCUCAGGAAAUGCAGCUGCUCCCCAUCCCAGCCUCCCCCAGUG